UACGUAGGGUGCAAGCGUUAAUCGGAAUUACUGGGCGUAAAGCGUGCGCAGGCGGUUUGUUAAGUCUGUUGUGAAAUCCCCGAGCUCAACUUGGGAAUUGCAAUGGAUACUGGCAGGCUGGAGUAUGGUAGAGGAAGGUGGAAUUCCCGGUGUAGCAGUGAAAUGCGUAGAGAUCGGGAGGAACACCAGUGGCGAAGGCGGCCUUCUGGACCAAUACUGACGCUGAAGCACGAAAGCGUGGGGAGCAAACAGG
rnacentral:rRNA from 1 species